rnacentral:rRNA from 1 species
AUGUGUAUGGUCACCUGGAAGUGGUCGCAAGAGCGACCAGCAGAGGCGCCCUCGCGGCAGCUGGCGGCGGAAUAUAGUGGUGCUACGCGGUGCGCUCCUGUAGGUGACACCAUGCCUUCUCCCCGCCGGACGGCUAUUGGUCUGCACCGCACAGAGAAGAGUGGAGGGCUUUCGAUGGAUAAUGACAAGGAGGGGUGCGCCUCCCCAACCGACGAUGUGGCAGACGUUGAGGUCGCUGCCCGCGGGGAAAAUAGCAUGCCCGCCGCCCGUGUGGGAUACCGCAUGCCCAAGAUCCCCGACGCAGCGGAUGAGAUCGAGGUCCUUUGCGCAGCGAAGCGCAACUUGGAGGAGCUGCAGCUGCAGACCAUGCAUCUGCCGCACACGCCGACGCGCUAG